rnacentral:misc_RNA from 1 species
GAUGAAGAACGUAGCGAACGUGCGAAACGUAAUGUGAAUUGCAGAAUUCAGUGAAUCAUCGAAUCUUUGAACGCAUCUUGCGCUCCUUGGUAUUCCGAGGAGCAUGCCUGUUUGAGUGUCGUGAAUACUCUCAACUUCAACCCUUUUUUCGGAAAGGGAGGAAGGUUGGACUUGGGUGUUUGUUGAAGUGCGAGCUUCGACUCAUCCUAAAUGCAUUAGCGAUCUGCCUCGAUCACACACAAUGUGAUAAUUAAAACUAAAGCAUUGUUUAAUGAUCAAGUCGAGACUGCUUCUAACUGUCGCAAGACAAUAACGUGCAUACAUUUGUGCAUGUCAUUUGACCUCAAAUCAGGUAGGACUACCCGCUGAACUUAAGCACAUCAAUAAGCGGAGGA